AUCUAACUGACGAGUCCCAAAUAGAACGAAAAGCGCGUCCUAGAU
rnacentral:hammerhead_ribozyme from 1 species